AUUGAACGCUAGCGGCAGGUCUAACACAUGCAAGUCGAACGAGUGGCGGACGGGUGAGUAAUGUCUGGGAAACUUCCUGAUGGAGGGGGAUAACUACUGGAAACGGUAGCUAAUACCGCAUACCAUUGGAUGUGCCCAGAUGGGAUUAGAUAGUAGGUGGGGUAAAGUGUCACCUAGGCGGCGAUCCCUAGCUGGUCUGAGAGGAUGACCAGCCACACUGGAACUGAGACACGGUCCAGACUCCUACGGGAGGCAGCAUUGGGGAAUAUUGCACAAUGGGCGCAAGCCUGAGGCAGCCAUGCCGCGUGUAUGAAGAAGGCCUUCGGGUUGUAAAGUACUUUCAGCGGGGAGGCGUUACCCGCAGAAGAAGCACCGGCUAACUCCGUGCCAGCAGCCGCGGUAAUUC
rnacentral:rRNA from 1 species